UACUUGCCCUGAUUCUGGCAUAGUAAAGCCAAGUUAUUUAACUGUUUGGCCACAUCUGGGUGAUCUUUGCCAAGAACCUGAAAAUGAAGCAGGCUUCUAUUGUAGGAAUCGCAAGCAGCAGACUUGGUCGUCACAAACUGUAACUACCGAUUCACCCAGAACCAAAAAUAUGUGCGGGACUGCUGUCCAUGCAUGCACACGGCAUUGAAAAAAUUAUGGAAUAUUUGGAGACUGUCAAGUUAAACAGCACUUCAUACAGUAUUUGUGUCUGGUCUCCCCAUAAGAAGAAUGAAAGAAUGAA